GGCGUGGCCCUAUGGCCUAAUGGUUACAGCGUCCGCCUCGGAUGCAGGAGGCCGCGGGUUAGAACCACAGCCGAGUCAUGCCA